GAUGAACGCUGGCGGCGUGCUUAACACAUGCAAGUCGAACGGUGAAGCCAAGCUUGCUUGGUGGAUCAGUGGCGAACGGGUGAGUAACACGUGAGCAACCUGCCCUGGACUCUGGGAUAAGCGCUGGAAACGGCGUCUAAUACUGGAUAUGAGCCUCUUCCGCAUGGUGGGGGUUGGAAAGAUUUUUUGGUCUGGGAUGGGCUCGCGGCCUAUCAGCUUGUUGGUGAGGUAAUGGCUCACCAAGGCGUCGACGGGUAGCCGGCCUGAGAGGGUGACCGGCCACACUGGGACUGAGACACGGCCCAGACUCCUACGGGAGGCAGCAGUGGGGAAUAUUGCACAAUGGGCGAAAGCCUGAUGUAGCAACGCCGCGUGAGGGAUGACGGCCUUCGGGUUGUAAACCUCUUUUAGCAGGGAAGAAGCGAAAGUGACGGUACCUGCAGAAAAAGCGCCGGCUAACUACGUG
rnacentral:rRNA from 1 species